GGUUAAGCGACUAAGCGUACACGGUGGAUGCCCUGGCAGUCAGAGGCGAUGAAGGACGUGCUAAUCUGCGAAAAGCGUCGGUAAGGUGAUAUGAACCGUUACAGCCGGCGAUGUCCGAAUGGGGAAACCCAGUGCAAUUCGUUGCACUAUCGUUUGAUGAAUACAUAGUCAAACGAGGCGAACCGGGGGAACUGAAACAUCUAAGUACCCCGAGGAAAAGAAAUCAACCGAGAUUCCCCCAGUAGCGGCGAGCGAACGGGGAGCAGCCCGGAGUCUGAAUCAGCUUGUGUGUUAGUGGAAGCGUCUGGAAAGUCGCAGGGUACAGGGUGAUACUCCCGUACACUAAAACGCACAGGCUGUGAACUCGAAGAGUAGGGCGGGACACGUGGUAUCCUGUCUGAAUAUGGGGGGACCAUCCUCCAAGGCUAAAUACUCCUGACUGACCGAUAGUGAACCAGUACCGUGAGGGAAAGGCGAAAAGAACCCCGGCGAGGGGAGUGAAAAAGAACCUGAAACCGUGUACGUACAAGCAGUAGGAGCCCACUUGUUGGGUGACUGCGUACCUUUUGUAUAAUGGGUCAGCGACUUAUAUUCUGUAGCAAGGUUAACCGUAUAGGGGAGCCGCAGGGAAACCGAGUCUUAACUGGGCGUUAAGUUGCAGGGUAUAGACCCGAAACCCGGUGAUCUAGCCAUGGGCAGGUUGAAGGUUGGGUAACACUAACUGGAGGACCGAACCGACUAAUGUUGAAAAAUUAGCGGAUGACUUGUGGCUGGGGGUGAAAGGCCAAUCAAACCGGGAGAUAGCUGGUUCUCCCCGAAAGCUAUUUAGGUAGCGCCUCGUGAAUUCAUCUUCGGGGGUAGAGCACUGUUUCGGCUAGGGGGUCAUCCCGACUUACCAACCCGAUGCAAACUACGAAUACCGAAGAAUGUUAUCACGGGAGACACACGGCGGGUGCUAACGUCCGUCGUGAAGAGGGAAACAACCCAGACCGCCAGCUAAGGUCCCAAAGUCAUGGUUAAGUGGGAAACGAUGUGGGAAGGCCCAGACAGCCAGGAUGUUGGCUUAGAAGCAGCCAUCAUUUAAAGAAAGCGUAAUAGCUCACUGGUCGAGUCGGCCUGCGCGGAAGAUGUAACGGGGCUAAACCAUGCACCGAAGCUGCGGCAGCGACGCUUAGGCGUUGUUGGGUAGGGGAGCGUUCUGUAAGCCGUUGAAGGUGGCCUGUGAGGGUUGCUGGAGGUAUCAGAAGUGCGAAUGCUGACAUAAGUAACGAUAAUGCGGGUGAAAAACCCGCACGCCGGAAGACCAAGGGUUCCUGUCCAACGUUAAUCGGGGCAGGGUGAGUCGACCCCUAAGGCGAGGCCGAAAGGCGUAGUCGAUGGGAAACAGGUUAAUAUUCCUGUACUUGGUGUUACUGCGAAGGGGGGACGGAGAAGGCUAUGUUGGCCGGGCGACGGUUGUCCCGGUUUAAGCGUGUAGGUGUGUGUUCCAGGUAAAUCCGGUUCACUUUAACACUGAGGCGUGAUGACGAGGCACUACGGUGCUGAAGUGACAAAUGCCCUGCUUCCAGGAAAAGCCUCUAAGCAUCAGGUAACAUCAAAUCGUACCCCAAACCGACACAGGUGGUCAGGUAGAGAAUACCAAGGCGCUUGAGAGAACUCGGGUGAAGGAACUAGGCAAAAUGGUGCCGUAACUUCGGGAGAAGGCACGCUGAUAUGUAGGUGAAGUGAUUUACUCAUGGAGCUGAAAUCAGUCGAAGAUACCAGCUGGCUGCAACUGUUUAUUAAAAACACAGCACUGUGCAAACACGAAAGUGGACGUAUACGGUGUGACGCCUGCCCGGUGCCGGAAGGUUAAUUGAUGGGGUUAUCCGUAAGGAGAAGCUCUUGAUCGAAGCCCCGGUAAACGGCGGCCGUAACUAUAACGGUCCUAAGGUAGCGAAAUUCCUUGUCGGGUAAGUUCCGACCUGCACGAAUGGCGUAAUGAUGGCCAGGCUGUCUCCACCCGAGACUCAGUGAAAUUGAACUCGCUGUGAAGAUGCAGUGUACCCGCGGCAAGACGGAAAGACCCCGUGAACCUUUACUAUAGCUUGACACUGAACACUGGUCCUUGAUGUGUAGGAUAGGUGGGAGGCUUUGAAGUGUGGACGCCAGUCUGCAUGGAGCCAUCCUUGAAAUACCACCCUUUAAUGGCUGGUGUUCUAACGUGGGCCCCUAAUCGGGGUUGCGGACAGUGUCUGGUGGGUAGUUUGACUGGGGCGGUCUCCUCCUAAAGAGUAACGGAGGAGCACGAAGGUCAGCUAAUCCUGGUCGGACAUCAGGAGGUUAGUGCAAUGGCAUAAGCUGGCUUGACUGCGAGCGUGACGGCGCGAGCAGGUGCGAAAGCAGGUCAUAGUGAUCCGGUGGUUCUGAAUGGAAGGGCCAUCGCUCAACGGAUAAAAGGUACUCCGGGGAUAACAGGCUGAUACCGCCCAAGAGUUCAUAUCGACGGCGGUGUUUGGCACCUCGAUGUCGGCUCAUCACAUCCUGGGGCUGAAGUAGGUCCCAAGGGUAUGGCUGUUCGCCAUUUAAAGUGGUACGCGAGCUGGGUUUAGAACGUCGUGAGACAGUUCGGUCCCUAUCUGCCGUGGGCGCUGGAGAAUUGAGGGGGGCUGCUCCUAGUACGAGAGGACCGGAGUGGACGCAUCACUGGUGUUCGGGUUGUCAUGCCAAUGGCAUUGCCCGGUAGCUAAAUGCGGAAGAGAUAAGUGCUGAAAGCAUCUAAGUACGAAACUUGCCCCGAGAUGAGUUCUCCCUGACUCCUUGAGAGUCCUGAAGGAACGUUGAAGACGACGACGUUGAUAGGCCGGGUGUGUAAGCGCAGCGAUGCGUUGAGCUAACCGGUACUAAUGAACCGUGAGGCUUAACCUU
rnacentral:rRNA from 1 species